rnacentral:lncRNA from 1 species
CGAGUUAACGUGAUUGAGAUUAGAAGAGUAUUGGAUUGAGGAUAAGAAGGGUUGGUGUCUUGGAGUUCGUUAGGAUUAAAGGUGGAUUACGUCGAGUUCGGAUGGAAGAUUUAGGAUUCUUCUCGUAGUACUUUCGACGAUCAAACUAAAUCGAUCCUGAACGUAGCACAAAAACUUUUUUCCCCCCAACCAAUUCGGACGUUUCCUCCGCUCGGGGUCUCUUAAUCCUAACAAAUCGAAUUCAACCGUCUCGACGGCACGAGCAUCGUGGAAAAAGAAGCGGGAAACACGAUGAUAGCGGCGAAACGAUGCUGGAGGGAGGAGGAGAAGGAAAAACGGCAGACAGAGAUGCGAAAUAGGAGUUGAGCGCGGAAAAAAAGGAAAUAAUAAAGCCUCGAGUCGAUGCCAGGUGCAUGGACGGCUGGCGUAAGAACGCGUCCAAAAGCAGUGCGUGUCAUUAGAGAGCGUGAAAGACGUGACAAAUGACAGUCUGUCUCGUCUUGAAUGCGCAUUGGCGCCCCCUAUCGUUGCCACUCGUUUGUUUGCGGUCACACAUUGUCGUGUGACGGAGAAAAGAAAGAAAGAUCGGG